rnacentral:rRNA from 1 species
GUCUACGGCCAUUCCACGUUGAAAGCACCGGUUCUCGACCGAUCACCGAAAUUAAGCAACGUCGGGCCCGGUUAGUACUUGGAUGGGUGACCGCCUGGGAACACCGGGUGCCGUAGACA